UGAUGCAAACAGAGGUCAAGUGACUUGCCCUGGGUUACACAGUUAGGAAGUAUUUGCAGCCUCAUUUGAACUCAAGUCUCCCCAGCAUUCUUCCCCCUGCAUCACCUCAUGGUUCUUUACCUAUAAUUUUAAAAAAAAUGACUGAUCUAGUAGAUAUUGAUACUAGGGGAAUGAUGGUAAUGGAGAAAUAUCAGAGAUGUAACACCAGGAAGUAAGCCAGGGAAAAGACUGACUCUUGAGCCCCUCCCCCUACACUACUUCCUGUUCCCUUUCAACAGUCUUAGAAAUAUGCUCCUCACUGAUGAAUAUUUCCCCCAGCUCUGUGAUUCUGCACAAACUACAUCCUAUGCCUGAAAUUUUCUCCCUGGCCUCUUACUCUUGGAAUCUAUAUCUCAAAGCUCGGGGUUCAGAGGUUCACAAACAUGCCAAAGAAAGGAGCUACACCAACUGGAUCCAAGCCAGGGAGGAAGCAGAGGCUGGUUGGUUCGGUGCUGAGGGGAGAUUAAAGGGUCAGGGACAACAAGCAGCUGUUCCUGGGAGAAGAUUGCAUCUGACCCUGGAAUUUCUGAUAAACUACAUAAUAAGCUACUCAGAAUACAGUGAAACAGUAUAUUUUGCCAAAAUAUGAUUGCAAUAUUGAGGGGAAUAAAAAAUAUCUCACCUCAAUCUGGGUUUUCUGAGAGCAUCUUUUCCCUUGGGAAAAGUGAGAUUGUGAAUUUAGCCAUUAACAGAUGUAGUUGUCACUGGGAAUAGAGAUAGCUAACCCUUUAACAAC